AAUGAACGCUAGCUACAGGCUUAACACAUGCAAGUCGAGGGGAAACGAUAGAGAAAGCUUGCUUUUUCUAGGCGUCGACCGGCGCACGGGUGAGUAACGCGUAUCCAACCUGCCCACCACUUGGGGAUAACCUUGCGAAAGUAAGACUAAUACCCAAUGAUAUCUCAAGAAGACAUCUGAAUGAGAUUAAAGAUUUAUCGGUGAUGGAUGGGGAUGCGUCUGAUUAGCUUGUUGGCGGGGUAACGGCCCACCAAGGCGACAAUCAGUAGGGGUUCUGAGAGGAAGGUCCCCCACAUUGGAACUGGGACACGGUCCAAACUCCUACUGGAGGCAGCAGUGAGGAAUAUUGGUCAAUGGGCGAGAGCCUGAACCAGCCAAGUAGCGUGCAGGAUGACGGCCCUAUGGGUUGUAAACUGCUUUUAUAAGGGAAUAAAGUGAGUCUCGUGAGACUUUUUGCAUGUACCUUGUGAAUAAGGACCGGCUAAUUCCGUGCCAGCAGCCGCCGUAA
rnacentral:rRNA from 1 species